rnacentral:rRNA from 1 species
AUGCAAGUCGAACGAUGAAGCCCUUCGGGGUGGAUUAGUGGCGAACGGGUGAGUAACACGUGGGCAAUCUGCCCUUCACUCUGGGACAAGCCCUGGAAACGGGGUCUAAUACCGGAUAACACUCCUGCCUGCAUGGGCGGGGGUUAAAAGCUCCGGCGGUGAAGGAUGAGCCCGCGGCCUAUCAGCUUGUUGGUGGGGUAAUGGCCUACCAAGGCGACGACGGGUAGCCGGCCUGAGAGGGCGACCGGCCACACUGGGACUGAGACACGGCCCAGACUCCUACGGGAGGCAGCAGUGGGGAAUAUUGCACAAUGGGCGAAAGCCUGAUGCAGCGACGCCGCGUGAGGGAUGACGGCCUUCGGGUUGUAAACCUCUUUCAGCAGGGAAGAAGCGCAAGUGACGGUACCUGCAGAAGAAGCACCGGCUAACUACGUGCCAGCAGCCGCGGUAAUACGUAGGGUGCGAGCGUUGUCCGGAAUUAUUGGGCGUAAAGAGCUCGUAGGCGGCUUGUCACGUCGGAUGUGAAAGCCCGGGGCUUAACCCCGGGUCUGCAUUCGAUACGGGCAGGCUAGAGUGUGGUAGGGGAGAUCGGAAUUCCUGGUGUAGCG